rnacentral:rRNA from 1 species
UACGAAGGGGGCUAGCGUUGUUCGGAAUUACUGGGCGUAAAGGGCUCGUAGGCGGCCAACUAAGUCAGACGUGAAAUCCCUCGGCUUAACCGGGGAACUGCGUCUGAUACUGGAUGGCUUGAGUUUGGGAGAGGGAUGCGGAAUUCCAGGUGUAGCGGUGAAAUGCGUAGAUAUCUGGAGGAACACCGGUGGCGAAGGCGGCAUCCUGGACCGACACUGACGCUGAUGAGCGAAAGCCAGGGGAGCAAACGGG